AUUCCUUCUUGUAAUCGUUAUUAAUGUCAAUUUCCAUAUCUGCCUCCUAUUUGAUCUCUGUAUAUUUAUCAAGGGAGACUCUCCGCUCCGAAUGUAUAAACCCUUUUGAUCAAUUUUUGAUGGUUUUGUUUGAAUUUCCGUCGCUCAUUAACAGAAAAAAGGUACCAUAGAUUGAUACUUCGCGUUGAUUUCGGAAAACAGCCUCGCAAUGAGUGAAAUUGAGGAGCUGGAGCACGAAUUCCAUCUCCACCCAUUUACAAAGAGAUGUGAAGAAGAGUGUGACAGUUCUCAUGUGGGCUUUGCACAAUUCCGGUGGAAGGAAAAUUUCCAUAUUCAUCAACCAGCUCAGAAGAUUCCCAUGGACGCGAGGCGUGAGAGACGACCUGAUGAACUCACAUGUUGGCCAAGCCCUUUCUGUGUCAUUCCCGCUGAACCCAAAACAGAACCAAAUGAAUCAUGGCUAGCAGAGUGAGAUAGACAACCUGAUGAUGUCAUGGGUUGGCUAAGCCCUUCCCGUGACAUUCCUGCUGAGCUCAAAGCAUCACCAAUCGAAGAUCUUUUUAAUUGGAACUUUGUUCUUUUCUUUAGGUGUUUUUAGGUAAAGCAAUUUUUUGGUGAUAGCACUGUACUUGAUGUGGGUGGUUAAGGUUUUAUCAUUUAUUGGCCGUUAAGACAUUAAAUAGUUUAGAUUCGGAUUUUUAUCAAGUUUUUGUUUUGCACAUGGUUCAUUAGUUAAAAGUUUGAUCUUUCUAAUUGACACUUUAGGCUUUUAUUUGGGUUAUUGUUUUGCAUAUAUUACUGUGACUUUCUCGAUGAUAGCAUUAAGCGUGGCCUUGGAUUACUCAUUAUGGAGCUAAAAGUGGAAAGGAGGUUCAACCUUAUGAAAAGAAGACAUGAAAGGAACUCGAGAAACAAGAUAUACUAAGGCAAAAAGGAUGUUGGCAACCUUAUGACUGCUGCUCUCAUUACUGUGCAUGAAAACACUAGUCUUGAGGAUGCUGUGAGGUAUUAACUUCUUUCCUUUGAUUAAAUUUUACUUAACAUAAAUUUGAUCUAAGUUUUCUGCUUGGUGGUGUAAUUGGGAAUUUUUCUUUGCCUUGAUUCUGCAACUCUACCAAAAUCCAAUCUUGAUAUGGAAAACCGGCAAUCUUGGUUGAUUGAUCCUAACGAUUCAGUGCUCAAGAGUAAUCUCCACAGGUGCAGGACUCAUGGUUGUCAUCAAUGAAUUCCAUCAUUAAUUGGUAUCGAAGCCACCCCAGUUUGGCAAAACGGCAAUUGUGCAAAUUGCAUAUAUUCGCUCCUUGGUGCAUCUCUUCUAGGUUGGGCCUUUUUUGGGUUGGUUAGAUGUUAUUGAUGUAGCCAUAGAGUGGGCAAAUAGAAAUGUCAAGAGUAACCCAUGUAUCUCUGAGUUGAUUGAACUUAGAAGAGUUGAUACUGAGACAAAGAUGUUCAAAUGUGCAAGAACUGCAAAUAGGGCAGAAAGAUGAUAUUAAUAGUUAUGUGGAUUCAGGCAAUAAAAAGAUUGUUGACAUGGGGCCUGCACCAUCAUUUUCACUCAGAAGGCAUUCAGCCAAAAAGAGUUAUCAUAGGCCACCAGUACUCGUCGGCGUCGUUAAGGAUCGGGGAAAAUUUUACUUUUGUAUGUGCAACCCCCCCCCUCCCCGUCCUUUCUUUCGGACAAUGGAGGAAGCAGGAUUGAAUCCGAAGACUUCUUGUGUUGGUGCUCUGGAUGAGAUGGUUUGUCCUGGUGGUAAAGAGGCCUUUAUUACUCGCAUAAUUGAAGACAGUGCUCAAC